rnacentral:tRNA from 2 species
GCGGGAGUGGCGGAAUUGGUAGACGCGCUGGACUUAGGAUCCAGUGGGGAAACCCGUCCGGGUUCGAGUCCCGGCUCUCGCA